CCUACGGGAGGCAGCAGUAGGGAAUCUUUCACAAUGGGCGAAAGCCUGAUGGAGCAACGCCGCGUGCAGGAUGAAGGCCUUCGGGUUGUAAACUGCUUUUAUAAGCGAGGAAUAUGAUGGUAACUUAUGAAUAAGGAUCGGCUAACUACGUGCCAGCAGCCGCGGUCAUACGUAGGAUCCGAGCAUUAUCCGGAGUGACUGGGUGUAAAGAGUUGCGUAGGUGGCAUAAUAAGUAGCUAGUGAAAUCUGGUGGCUCAACCAUUCAGACUAUUAGCUAAACUGUUAAGCUCGAGACCGUUAGGGGUAACUGGAAUUUCUAGUGUAGGAGUGAAAUCCGUAGAUAUUAGAAGGAACACCAAUAGCGUAGGCAGGUUGCUGGGACGGUUCUGACACUAAGGCACGAAAGCGUAGGGAGCAAACGGGAUUAGAUACCCCAGUAGUC
rnacentral:rRNA from 1 species